CAUAGCUUAUUGACAAUAGUAAGUAUUUUCUGCCCGGUGAUUUUAACGGCCGCAGUACUUUGACUGUGCUAAGGUAGCAUAAUAAUUUGUCCUUUAAUUAAGGUCUAGAAUAAAAGGAGAAUAAAAGAAUUGUCUUUUUUAGUUUUUAAAUUUUUUUAUAAGGUGAAAAUACCUUUAUAUAUUAUUAGACGAGAAGACCCUUAGAAUUUUCAAAAUUUUUGUUGGGGCGACAAAGAAACACAAAACUUUCUUAUAAUAUAUAUAAGCCGAGACUAUUAAAAUUACCUGAGGGAUAACAGCAUAAUUUUAGAUUAUGACCUCGAUGUUGGAUUAGGAAAUAAUUAUUAACAAUUAUUAAAGUUCUGUUCGAACCCUACGUGAU
rnacentral:rRNA from 1 species